UACAGAGGGUGCAAGCGUUGUUCGGAAUUAUUGGGCGUAAAGCGCGUGUAGGCGGCAUGGCAAGUCGGGUGUGAAAGCCCUCAGCUUAACUGAGGAAGUGCGCCCGAAACUGCCGUGCUUGAGUGCCGGAGAGGGUGGCGGAAUUCCCCAAGUAGAGGUGAAAUUCGUAGAUAUGGGAGGAACACCGGUGGCGAAGGCGGCCACCUGGACGGUAACUGACGCUGAGACGCGAAAGCGUGGGAGCAAACAGG
rnacentral:rRNA from 1 species